rnacentral:rRNA from 1 species
AUACGGAGGAUGCGAGCGUUAUCCGGAUUUAUUGGGUUUAAAGGGAGCGUAGGUGGGAUAUUAAGUCAGCUGUGAAAGUUUGGGACUCAACCUUAAAAUUGCAGUUGAUACUGGUUUCCUUGAGUACGGUACAGGUGGGCGGAAUUCGUGGUGUAGCGGUGAAAUGCUUAGAUAUCACGAAGAACUCCGAUUGCGAAGGCAGCUCACUGGACUGCAACUGACACUGAUGCUCGAAAGUGUGGGUAUCAAACAGGAUUAGAUACCCUGGUAGUCCACACAGUAAACGAUGAAUACUCGCUGUUUGCGAUAUACAGUAAGCGGCCAAGCGAAAGCAUUAAGUAUUCCACCUGGGGAGUACGCCGGCAACGGUGAAACUCAAAUGAAUUGACGGGG